GCGCUUGCUUCGGCAGCACGUAUACUAAAAUUGGAACGACACACGAGAAGAUCAUUAUGGCCCCGUACAAGGAUGACACGCAAAUUCGUGCAACGUUCCAUAUUUUC
rnacentral:snRNA from 1 species